UACGGGGGGGGCAAGCGUUGUUCGGAAUUACUGGGCGUAAAGGGCUCGUAGGUGGCCAACUAAGUCACAUGUGAAAUCCCUCGGCUUAACCGGGGAACUGCGUUUGAUACUGGAUGGCUUGAGUUUGGGAGAGGGAUGCGGAAUUCCAGGUGUAGCGGUGAAAUGCGUAGAUAUCUGGAGGAACACCGGUGGCGAAGGCGGCAUCCUGGACCAAUACUGACGCUGAGGAGCGAAAGCUAGGGGAGCAAACGGG
rnacentral:rRNA from 1 species